GUGCUUGCUUUGGCAGCACAUAUACUAAAAUUCAAAUGAUGUAGAGAAGAUUAGUGUGGCCCCUGUGCAAGGAUGACAAACAAAUUCAUGAAGGGUUCCAGUUAAAA
rnacentral:snRNA from 1 species